GCCGGACUCUGCAUGAGUCACCGCCUGCCUGCAAGCCCAGAGCUCGCCGCACCCCCCUGCCUCUCCGCACCGUCCCACAGGCUGUGACCCUCCACCCAGCCAUAGACGGUUCUGCUCUUGGCACAAAGGAGGGCUUCUUAGCCGGGAAUAUGGCUGCCCGGGAGGGGCGACUUCUGUGCUUGUUUUUCCUUCCUGGCACUGAAAACAAGCACAUCCACCCAACAAAUAAAGACGCGGUCAAUGAAAGCAGCUGUGUUUCAAGGGGAGACAGGGAGCAAGCCAAGGAAUAAAUGAAAAGACCCAGUGACAAAAUGCCCAUUCAUCGGGUUCACUCGGCAAACAUUUACUGAAGCAUCUGUGUGCCAGGCACUGUCCUGAGUGCUGGGAAGACACAAAGAUGCCCUUCAGAACGAUGACCCCCGCCUCGCCCUCCGCUGGAACCGGGAGGCAGACACACACAUAAAUACGACACAGUCAACCGUCCCCAGUUCACAGCAUCUAAAGGAGCUAGGAAUGCAUGGGAUGCUUAUGGAAUGUGCGAGAACACGGGUGAGUCUCACAAAAAGAAUGUACACGGAGUACAUACUGUCGGAUUCCAUUUCUAUCAACUCCUGAAGCCUGCAGAGCUAACACCUACUGCUGGAGGGCAAGGCAGUAGCUGCUUGUUGGGGUAGGAGAUGAGGAGAACACCAAGUGGGCUUCUGGAAUGCUGGACACCCGUGUAGAGACAAAGUCUCACUGUGUUCCCAGGCUGAUCCCCAACUCCUGAGCUCAAGCCAGCCACCAGCCUUGGCCUCCCAAAGUGCUGGGAUUACAGGCGUGAGCCACCACGCCGGGCCCAGAUGAACAGACUUCAUGGCUGAGACAGAGCUGAGAGCAGAGAAAACAGACUCAUAAAAUCCUGGCAGAAUCUUUCCAUUCUAAUAGAGAAAAGAGGAAGGUAUGGAAAAGAGUGAAAUUGGCAUAAAAAAUCCAAUAAAGGGCAACGAGCAGGAAACAACAAAAACAUGGGAAACUGCCGACCUGAGGAAUCGCGCUCUUCUAACUUUACAGCUUCACCUGCCGUGUUUGCUCCUGGAGGACUGAGACUUUUGUCUGAUUCGUCUGCUGCUGUCUUCCCGAUGCCUAGAACACUGCCUGAUGCACGGGAAGUAUUUGUCAGAUACAUCCCAUGGCUUCUAAUGCCAUUUGCAAGGAUGAAAGCUGGGUGUGCCCGGCUGUACGGCAAUACUUCCAAAGGCCUGUAGGACUCCCCAGUGACUGUCCCAUUCACCAGGAGGAGGACUGCAGUCACCUGCAUUGUCCUGGGAAGGUCAGCCAGGCCUUUUCCCAAUGUCUGUCUGGGAAAAGCCCCGGUGUAGUCUGCUCGGUCCUACACCCAGAAUCACGGGGGCUUCAGGAGCAGGCAUUACGAGGCAAGGAGUAGCUUCUCCCCCUCACCUCCCACUCAGCAGAACGCACUAGCCCUGUGCUCUUCUGAUCCUGAAGGCAGCUGAGUCUGAAAAGUUCCUGUACCUUUAAAGGUACUAGAGGCAGUGUGGUGCCCACUCAGGAACUGCAUGAUUUAAAUAGGUUUCUAGGAUAAAGGCAACUCGUAGCACAAAGGAACAAGUCCCAGGGAGUGGCAUUCCAGAUCAUUUGAUUCCUGAGCGAAGGAAUUAUUAUGGUGUGGAGGUGGGGACCUCCUUACUACAUUCCAAAUUGCAAUAAGGUUGUAAGGGUUUUCUCUUCCAUUCUGAAGUACUUUGACAAUAGUUUUGAACUUCAAAAAUGUUUAUUAAAGGUGUUUUCACAGCAGUUUCAUAAUGUUUAAUUUGUUAAUUACUGGAAUUGAUGCUAAAUAAAACAGGCAAGUAAUACUUCAGAUGGCUUCAUCUUCAGAGUCUUCUUCAUGUGUGACUCAAAAUGCACAAUUUUGGCCGGGCACAGUGGCUCACGCCUGUAAUCCCAGCACUUUGGGAGGCUGAGACAGGCGGAUCACCUGAGGUCAGGAGUUUGAGACCAGUUUGGCCAACAUGGUGAAACCCCAUCUCUACUAAAAAUACAAAAAUUAGAUGGGCAUGGUGGUGUGUGCCUGUAAUCCCAGCUGCUUGGGAAGCUGAGGCAGGAGAAUUGAUUGAACCCAAGAGGCGGGGCUUGCAGUGAGCCGAGAUCCCGCUCCAGCCUGGGCAACAAGAGCGAGACUCCGUCUCAAAAAAAGAAAAAAAAAGCACAAUUUCAGGACAGCCUAAGCAAAUAAAAAAUGGGAAAUGGAAAUGGAUUCGAAGCAGGGAGGACGUUCCGCCCACUGUCACACCGAAGGAAUGGUGGAGGCUGUGAGUCCUCCGCCCACUGUCACACCGAAGGAUGGUGGAGGCUGUGAGUCCUCCUGUAAGCCGCCGCUGGAGAAGGGGCAGCUCUGGAACCUGACGACAUUCUCCUAUCUUGCAUGAGGUGGAGACAAAGAGUCCUUCUGCGCUGGGACAGGAUGAGGGCGAAGUGGUGACUUCAGGUCAGAAGCAGAGCCUUGGGGACCUCUGAUUCUCAAGGGCGAGCUCCCUCCAGAACCCCAAGAGAUGGCCCUGACUGCAUGGGAAAGCGUGUCUCACCAUUGCAAUGUUCUCUAAGUCUGGAGGAGGCGGAGCCCAGUGAGAAUGACAGGCAGACCGCAAGGAGGCCCGGAAGCCCCCCAUGGCGAGGAUGCAUCCAAGUGUAUUCUGUAGGAGUGACCAGUGGCCACGUGGGUAGUGGGCAGAGCUUGUUUUCCUCCAAUAUCAGCGUACAGAGCAGGGGAGCCUGGUGAAGGUUUCUCUCUGAAAUCAUGGAUUCAGCUGUAUUAGUUUCUAUCCAAGGCUGGCAUAGCUCACCUUCCACUCCAGCAAUGACCUCGGGCCAGCUGUCACGAGCCUUCUCACCACGAGGAUGGUCUGGGGUGGUGAGAUCUCACUGUUGGCCAUAAUUCAUUCAACAUUUCUUCACUUCUCUGCUUAAUUUUGGUCGAAUGUCAUGC
rnacentral:lncRNA from 1 species